GCGUGGGUGAUGAAGGCCUUCGGGUUGUAAAGCCCUUUUGGCGGGGACGAUGAUGACGGUACCCGCAGAAUAAGCCCCGGCUAACUUCGUGCCAGCAGCCGCGGUAAUACGAAGGGGGCUAGCGUUGUUCGGAAUUACUGGGCGUAAAGGGCGCGUAGGCGGCCGUGCAAGUCAGAUGUGAAAGCCCUGGGCUCAACCCAGGAUGUGCAUUUGAUACUGCAUGGCUAGAGUGUCGGAGAGGAUGGUGGAAUUCCCAGUGUAGAGGUGAAAUUCGU
rnacentral:rRNA from 1 species